rnacentral:rRNA from 1 species
AGCGAACGCUGGCGGCAGGCCUAACACAUGCAAGUCGAACGCACCUUCGGGUGAGUGGCGGACGGGUGAGUAACACGUGGGAACGUACCUUUAGGUUCGGAAUAACGCAGGGAAACUUGCGCUAAUACCGAAUGUGCCCUUCGGGGGAAAGAUUUAUCGCCUUUAGAGCGGCCCGCGUUAGAUUAGCUAGUUGGUGAGGUAAUGGCCCACCAAGGCUACGAUCUAUAGCUGGUCUGAGAGGANGAUCAGCCACACUGGGACUGAGACACGGCCCAGACUCCUACGGGAGGCAGCAGUGGGGAAUCUUGCGCAAUGGGCGAAAGCCUGACGCAGCCAUGCCGCGUGAAUGAUGAAGGUCUUAGGAUUGUAAAAUCCUUUAGCAGGACGAUAAUGACGGUACCUGCAGAAAAACG